AAAGUGAACAUACUAAGAAUAAACAGUCUGUUUCAUUUCCUGGUGGAGCUAAUAAGCAUCAUAGCUAAAAUUUACACUAAUGAAGGAUCUGAGCGUGAGGAUGUCUGAAACACUCUGAGGAACAUCAAGAAUGUUUUGGAGGUACCAUGAAGCAGAACAGGCAAAGCUUUGUGUCCUGUUAUUGGAGCGCUCCUCUGGACGAUGACAGAACCGCAGUAAAUCACUCUCACAGGAUUUAUCCAAGAAUAGCCUUCAGGAAAUUAAAUUAUAAUAAGGAGA